rnacentral:rRNA from 1 species
AAACGGCGGCCGUAACUAUAACGGUCCUAAGGUAGCGAAAUUCCUUGUCGGUUAAAUACCGACCUGCAUGAAUGGCGUAACGAGAUGGGAGCUGUCUCAACCAGAGAUUCAGUGAAAUUGUAGUGGAGGUGAAAAUUCCUCCUACCCGCGGCAAGACGGGAAGACCCCGUGGACCUUU